rnacentral:rRNA from 1 species
UACGAAGGGGGCUAGCGUUGUUCGGAUUUACUGGGCGUAAAGCGCACGUAGGCGGAUCGUUAAGUCGGGGGUGAAAUCCUGGAGCUCAACUCCAGAACUGCCUUCGAUACUGGCGAUCUUGAGUCCGGAAGAGGUGAGUGGAACUCCUAGUGUAGAGGUGAAAUUCGUAGAUAUUCGGAAGAACACCAGUGGCGAAGGCGGCUCACUGGUCCGGUACUGACGCUGAGGUGCGAAAGCAUGGGGAGCGAACAGG